rnacentral:rRNA from 1 species
GAAACUUGGGAAUGGGUCAAUAAAUCAAUUAUCGUUUAUUUGAUAGUACCUUUACCUGGAUAACCCCGGGGGGUUCUUGAGCUAAUACAUGCUGCUAAUCCCGACGUCUGAAGGGAUGUAUUUAUUAUAAAAAAAAACAAUGCCCUCCGGGGGUCCCUGGUGGUUCAUAAUAACUAAAUCGAAUCGCACGGGCUUGCGCCGGGAAGGGGUCAUUCAAAUUUCUGCCCUAUCAACUUUCUAUGGUUGGGUAUUGGGUUACCACGGUCGCAACGGGUGACGGGG